CGUGAGUGAUGAAGGCUUUCGGGUCGUAAAGCUCUGUCAAGUGGGAAGAACCCACAUGGUGUUAAUACCAUCAUGUGUUGACGGUACCACUGAAGGAAGCACCGGCUAACUCCGUGCCAGCAGCCGCGGUAAUACGGGGGGUGCAAGCGUUAUUCGGAAUUACUGGGCGUAAAGAGCGCGUAGGCGGUCCUUUAAGUCAGGUGUGAAAGCCCGGGGCUCAACCCCGGAAGUGCACUUGAAACUAAGGGACUUGAGUAUGGGAGAGGGAAGUGGAAUUCCUGGUGUAGCGGUGAAAUGCGUAGAUAUCAGGAGGAACAUCGGUGGCGAAGGCGACUUCCUGGACCAAUACUGACGCUGAGGCGCGAAGGCGUGGGGAGCAAACAGGAUUAGAUACCCUGGUAGUCCACGCAGUAAACGGUGAUCACUAGGUGUAGCGGGUAUUGACCCCUGCUGUGCCGCAGCAAACGCAUUAA
rnacentral:rRNA from 1 species